GAUGAACGCUAGCGGCAGGCUUAACACAUGCAAGUCGAGGGGUAUAGUUCUUCGGAGCUAGAGACCGGCGCACGGGUGCGUAACGCGUAUGCAAUCUACCUUUUGCAGAGGGAUAGCCCAGAGAAAUUUGGAUUAAUACCUCAUGGUAUGUGAGAAUGGCAUCAUUUUCACAUUAAAGUCACAACGGCAAAAGAUGAGCAUGCGUCCCAUUAGCUAGUUGGUAAGGUAACGGCUUACCAAGGCAACGAUGGGUAGGGGUCCUGAGAGGGAGAUCCCCCACACUGGUAAUGAGACACGGACCAGGCUCCUACGGGAGGCAGCAGUGAGGAAUAUUGGACAAUGGGCGCAAGCCUGAUCCAGCCAUGCCGCGUGCAGGAUGACGGUCCUAUGGAUUGUAAACUGCUUUUGUACAGGAAGAAACACUGGUUCGUGAACCAGCUUGACGGUACUGUAAGAAUAAGGAUCGGCUAACUCCGUGCCAGCCGCCGCGGUAAUAC
rnacentral:rRNA from 1 species